UUCCAGAAGCUUAAGCAAACAUCAUAAAUCUCCCAGUUAAGCAUUUAAGAAAGAAAAAAAAAACACUUUUAAUAUCCCAGAAGACGGAAGGCUAUUACACUGAUCUGAUUGAUUUCCAAAAGUGAAGCAGGAAAUUCAAUUUGAGAGGGGAGGGAGUAUAAUGUUUCUUAUUUUACAUCUUUUGUCCUUGGCUGAUGCUCAUAAACUGUCAACAUAGUAGAAAAUUACUGAAUAUGCUUUUUUCUGUUGCCUUUUCUUAUCUCCUUAACUUGCAGCACUCUUUAGCAAAUGCACGAC
rnacentral:lncRNA from 1 species